rnacentral:rRNA from 1 species
GAAGUAUAGCUUGCUAUACGACCUAGCGGCGGACGGGUGAGUAAUGCUUAGGAAUCUGCCUAUUAGUGGGGGACAACAUUCCGAAAGGAAUGCUAAUACCGCAUACGCCCUACGGGGGAAAGCAGGGGAUCUUCGGACCUUGCGCUAAUAGAUGAGCCUAAGUCAGAUUAGCUAGUUGGUGGGGUAAAGGCCUACCAAGGCGACGAUCUGUAGCGGGUCUGAGAGGAUGAUCCGCCACACUGGGACUGAGACACGGCCCAGACUCCUACGGGAGGCAGCAGUGGGGAAUAUUGGACAAUGGGCGAAAGCCUGAUCCAGCCAUGCCGCGUGUGUGAAGAAGGCCUUUUGGUUGUAAAGCACUUUAAGCGAGGAGGAGGCU